rnacentral:rRNA from 1 species
GGAUUAGAUACCCUGGUAGUCCACGCCGUAAACGAUGUCUACUAGAAGCUCGGGUCUUCGGACUUGUUUUUCAAAGCUAACGCAUUAAGUAGACCGCCUGGGGAGUACGGCCGCAAGGUUAAAACUCAAAUGAAUUGACGGGGGCCCGCACAAGCGGUGGAGCAUGUGGUUUAAUUCGAUGCAACGCGAAGAACCUUACCUACACUUGACAUACAGAGAACUUACCAGAGAUGGUUUGGUGCCUUCGGGAACUCUGAUACAGGUGCUGCAUGGCUGUCGUCAGCUCGUGCCG